AUACUUACCUGGCAGGGGAGAUACCAUGAUCACAAAGGUGGUUUUCCCAGAGCGAGGCUUAUCCAUUGGACUCCGGAUGUGCUGACCCCUGCAAUUUCCCCAAAUGUGGGAAACUCAACUGCAUAAUUUGUGGUAGUGGGGGACUGCGUUCGCGCUCUCCCCUU
rnacentral:snRNA from 1 species